rnacentral:rRNA from 1 species
UACGUAGGGGGGCAAGCGUUGUCCGGAAUCAUUGGGCGUAAAGCGCGUGUAGGCGGCUUGGUAAGUCUGCUCUGAAAGCCCGGGGCUCAACCCCGGGAGGCGGGUGGAUACUGCUGAGCUUGAGUCCGGAAGAGGCGAGUGGAAUUCCUGGUGUAGCGGUGAAAUGCGCAGAUAUCAGGAGGAACACCAAUGGCGAAGGCAGCUCGCUGGGACGGUACUGACGCUGAGACGCGAAAGCGUGGGGAGCGAACAGG